rnacentral:sRNA from 1 species
AGAAAAGUAACCGCCGCCCCGCGCAGGGGCGACGCUAAUAGACCGUUAGCGCAACAGGUUCAACGACAAGAGCGUGGAGAACCAACCAAAAACCACGCCCCCGCGAGCCCCAC